AUUACAAUUAUGUUUAUUAGUCCAUCAAAGGCAUAGUAUUGACAAAAUUAUAGCUUAAAUAGACCGCAAACUAGAAAUUCGAAACAUUUGCUAAGCUGCAAAGAUAGAUACUCUCGUUUGGUCAAAGAUAUAUCGACAGAGACAAGCAUGAUGUACAAGAGGACGACGGUGCUAGUGGCGCUCGUGCUCCUGGUGGUGUGUGUGCAGCAUUCGAGCCAGAACUCGGUCCGGUGUCGCGCCGCGUGCUGGGAUACAUUCUACCUGUGCAAGGAGAACAGCGGCUGCGGCUCGCGCACCCCAGGCUCCUCCAUGAGCGACCUCAAAACCAACCGCCAGUGCCAGGAGGAGUGUCGGACCGCGCGGCAGACCUGCUCCGAUGAUUGUAUGAACUAAGCUUGAGUCUACAAAACACCAGACCCACCAACAGCAGAUUUAACGAACAUUUUUAACUAUUGGGCACUGAUUGCGUUUAACACACUAGAAACGAGGCACAAGUUUUAAAUAAACAAUUCUCUAAUUGAGAAGAUUUCUACCCACCAAGCAUUUGUUACUUUUAAGAAGCCAGGAACAAGGCACACGCUUUAAAUGUACAAUUCACUAAUUAGACAUGCUAAUAUUAGAAUACGACGUGUUCACAAUAUCUCCUAACUUUUAGACGCCAAAAAAGACGCACAUUUAUGCACACAUUCAACUAAUUUGUGCACACAAUCGUUUCUAACGUUUUCUACUCACACGAUGUUGUCAGCUGUAACUUGAUUUAUAAUAAAGCUUUUUUUCAUUAA